GACUAUGGCCAUGCUACCCUGAACAAGCCCUGUUUCGUCUGAUCUUGGAAGCUAAGCAAGGUAAGGCCUGGUUAGUACUUGGUUGGGAGACCACCUAGGAAGACCAGGUACUGUAGGCU
rnacentral:rRNA from 1 species